rnacentral:rRNA from 1 species
UACAUAGGCCCCGAGCGUUAGGCGGAAUCACUGGGCUUAAAGCGUGUGUAGGCGGGCCGGUAAGUGCCUUGUGAAAUCCCAUGGCUUAACCAUGGAACUGCUGGGCAUACUGCCGGUCUUGAGCCAUCUAGGGGCAGCUGGAACAAACGGUGGAGCGGUGAAAUGCGUAGAUAUCGUUUGGAACGCCAAUGGUGAAGACAGGCUGCUGGGGAUGUGCUGACGCUGAGACACGAAAGCCAGGGGAGCAAACGGG